rnacentral:rRNA from 1 species
UACAGAGGGUGCAAGCGUUAAUCGGAAUUACUGGGCGUAAAGCGCGCGUAGGUGGUUUGUUAAGUUGAAUGUGAAAGCCCCGGGCUCAACCUGGGAACUGCAUCCAAAACUGGCAAGCUAGAGUACGAUAGAGGGUGGUGGAAUUUCCUGUGUAGCGGUGAAAUGCGUAGAUAUAGGAAGGAACACCAGUGGCGAAGGCGGCUUCCUGGUCUGCGACUGACGCUGUGGCGCGAAAGCUAGGGGAGCAAACGGG